CCUUUUCCCAAUAGAAGAAUGUAAUGUGGUAAUGAUCCAAUUCAGAUCGUAGGCCUCCAGAGACUUCUCAGACUUCCAGUCUCCUCUGGAACCCUGUCAGUGCCGAUCUGACCAAGUCCGGGCUGUCCUGCUGGAAGAGUAAGAGACCAAAUGGAGCCGAGCUCCAUUCGUCCCAGUUACGGCCAUCGCACACCAGCCAGCCCCCGCCGAUGCUCCAGCUGACCACAGAGACACUCGCGCACCGACCGGAGAGGGGGUCAGGCAUCAGAUUUGAAUCUCCUGUUUGUGGUCUCCCUGCUCACACACAGCACCUCAGGCGUCCAGUGGGUCUUGUGUGUCUGGCAACAGUAGGCCACGUUCCAGUGUUCACUUUCUGCUGCGCUGGUGGCUGACUGUCUCACUGUGAUGACCUCUUCAAAGAAAAGUUUACACAGGUUGCCAGACUUUGAGCUUCUCCAGGACAGAAAUGAAUGCUAGUGCAUCUAUGAAUCGUGGCCAUGACAAACACCUGGGAAAAGUUUGUAGAACUGAACUUGAAAUGCAUCUGACAACUUUUAAAGCUGCAUGUCCAUCUUAGGUCCUAUGUGUCCAUAGAAGAACGAAAAGUAGCUGCAGAAAUAAAGAUCCUAUUCUGUCUAAAGAAUUUUCUAACAAAUAGAAUUGCCUGAAGAUGUAAGCAGGGGUCUCAGGAAGUUGAGUGUCCCUUUUAGGGGAAGACUUAGGGCCCAAGCAAAUGAUCACGUGUCAGGGAAAUUGAGAAAGAUAUUUAUGUACUGACCUAGAUGCCUUCCCAAAUGUUAUUACGAUACUUUGAUUCUGUGAACUCAACCACAGGAGACAAAGUCACUGUACCUAAACCAGGCAUCCCAAAGCACCAUGGCAAGGAGAAAUAACCACAGCAAUACAGCCAAAGCUCCUGCUGGCCAUAUCUAAACACACACCUUGAUGUGACCCUAGCCUUUCCUGUCCUAGGGGUGCUGGCCACUGAAGAUGAAUUAAAGCACACCCUUACCUCCACAGCAGUACCUUCCUGUUUGCAGACCGAAAUAUGCCCAACUUGGAAUCUCCUAAUUGUUUCAUCCUAAGAUAUAAGACAUCAUUUAACCACAUCCAGUGUACAAUCAAUAAACUAAAACUGUAAGCUAUUUGAA